AAUCAACGCUGGCGGCGUGCCUCAGACAUGCAAGUCGAACGAUUAAAGCUCUCUUCGGAGAGUGCAUAGAGUGGCGCACGGGUGAGUAACACGUAAGUAAUCUACCCUCGAGUGGGGAAUAACGUCCGGAAACGGGCGCUAAUACCGCAUAAUGCAGCGGCAUCAUAAGAUGACAGUUGUUAAAGAUUUAUCGCUUGAGGAGGAGCUUGCGGCAGAUUAGCUAGUUGGUAAGGUAACGGCUUACCACGGCUACGAUCUGUAACCGGUCGUAGAGGACGGUCGGUCACACUGACACUGGAUAACGGGUCAGACUCCUACGGGAGGCAGCAGUCGGGAAUUUUGGGCAAUGGGCGAAAGCCUGACCCCGCAACGCCGCGUGAAGGAUGAAGUAUUUCGGUAUGUAAACUUCGAAAGAAUAGGAAGAAUUAAUGACGGUACUAUUUAUAAGGUCCGGCUAACUACGUGCCAGCCGCCGCCGUAACAC
rnacentral:rRNA from 1 species